AGCGUAGACGGAUGGACAAGUCUGAUGUGAAAGGCUGGGGCUCAACCCCGGGACUGCAUUGGAAACUGCCCGUCUUGAGUGCCGGAGAGGUAAGCGGAAUUCCUAGUGUAGCGGUGAAAUGCAUAGAUAUUAGGAGGAACACCAGUGGCGAAGGCGGCUUACUGGACGGUAACUGACGUUGAGGCUCGAAAGCGUGGGGAGCAAACA
rnacentral:rRNA from 1 species